AUAUAAUUCAUCUCCUUGACCAAAAUACUCAUAGGAUAUCUCAGAGUUCAACUGUCAACUCUGAUCAGGUUGUCCACAUUGUAUUUCAAAAUAUCAAAUCCAUCUGAUGGAUUACCCUGGCCAAGGUUUUGCUAAAUUGAAAUAUAGUGACUCAUUCUUCUCCAACUCUUGGAGUGGUCAAUCUCAUUUUGAUCACACUCCAACUUUAUAAGUACUUGACUGUGCCCAGAAGCCUUCCAUCACUGAAUUAAAAAUUCAGUUAGUCCAGUACCAAAGCACAGUGAGUUGCUUGCAAGUCACUG
rnacentral:lncRNA from 1 species